GCGUGGGACCAGGUCAACUAAGUUGCUGAAGCAGGUAACUAAGCGUGGGACCAGGUCAGCCAAGCUACUCAUGCAGGCAGCUAAGUGUGGGACCAGGUGAGCUAAGUACCUGGCCCAACAGAAAAUGGUUGCUUCGCCUAGAAGAAUGGCUAUGUCAUGAUGAUGUCACAAGCCAAACAACCAGCCAAAGCUAACUUCUGGACCAAGUUUAUGACCUCAUGCAUGAGACAAGCAAGUAGGAGAUGUAACCAUGCAUGUAUCCCAGCCCACAAUAGGUUGUCUAAGUUAGUUGGCCAAUAUGGGACAAGUAGAUGACUCACCAGCUUGGGGUGUGCUAGACAAGGAGCUAAGCGGCCAGAAAAGGG
rnacentral:lncRNA from 1 species